GACGAACGCUGGCGGCGUGCUUAACACAUGCAAGUCGAACGGAAAGGCCCUGCUUUUGUGGGGUGCUCGAGUGGCGAACGGGUGAGUAACACGUGAGUAACCUGCCCUUGACUUUGGGAUAACUUCAGGAAACUGGGGCUAAUACCGGCUAGGAGCUCCUGCUGCAUGGUGGGGGUUGGAAAGUUUAGGCGGUUGGGGAUGGACUCGCGGCUUAUCAGCUUGUUGGUGGGGUAGUGGCUUACCAAGGCUUUGACGGGUAGCCGGCCUGAGCGGGUGGCCGGCCACAUUGGGACUGAGAGACGGCCCAGAGGCCUACGUGAGGCAGAAGUGGGGAAUAUUGCACAAUGGGCGGAAGCCUGAUGCAGCAGCGCCGCGUGCGUGAUGACGGCCUGCGGGUGGUGAACCGCUUUCGCCUGUGACGAAGCGUGAGUGACGGUAAUGGGUAAAGAAGCACCGGCUAACUACGUG
rnacentral:rRNA from 1 species